GUCUCUUCACGAUUAGUUUCUGGGAUGGAUGAGUGAAAGUGGCUGCUCUCAAUAAUGUCGCAUGGAAGAAAAACACUAACAUACAAGACGUCUCCUGGUUAUGGGUGUGUGUUGACAAGAACCGAAGGGAAAAGACAAAGAGGCCGUGAGGAAGUUGUAAAACAGCCUGACGUGAGCAUUAAGUCGCAGUGCAUCUGCCUGAGGACGGGCCUCCGCGUCUGCCACUGCACCAAACCGCUUCAGCGAGCAGAGCGCAAAUGAUGACACAACUGUGCCAGAAGCUGUUUACUAAAGAAAACAUGAAUAAUGACAGGAACCGUCGAGGAAUCGUCCAGAGUGCAUGGGAAACGAGCAAGUGGGACAAACUCAGCAGGAAAAGGUUGUCCCUGAGGAUUGGCCUCGUCACCCUAUCGACUACGCCAGGAUCCGCAUCUCCCACAAUCCUCUGGCUCUCCUCUGGUGGUGUCUUUCUUUAGCCCCGUGUUUGGAUGUUGGCAGGCAAGUUUCCUUUCAUUGGCAUUGCGACGCUGCAGCAGCGUGCCAGCUGUUUACGCCUCUUUGUCUUU